GACCUGUGGAGCCUGCUAGCCGUCGGGCUGCCAGAAGGCUCCGGGGUUUUUGCCAGAAGCUUCCAGGAUGGGUCCCCACUAGAACAGCCCAGCUGCUUCAACGCCACGGCCAAGGUCAGGAACCUACACGGGAUGCGUGGGCUCUAGUGCAGCUUUCCCGAUUUUCCUGGGUUCUGUGGAAGGGUUUUCUUCUACAAAUACCGUAGUGACUAGAGCACACAAGAUUUACCUAAGGCAUUCUUAGUGCUUCUGCUGCUGUAACAACGGCGCUCCACCAGCCAGAACAAAGAACUGAACUUUUACUUCGCAUCAGACACGGUCUUACUUUUUAACAACAAACAGCGUUUGGAUGUUAAUGAGUUUUAAAGUUAUCAAACUUUAAAAAGUAAGAAUUCGAUCUCCUUUUAACCGCCAACACUAUUUAAAUGAGAAUGAAGUCUCGGAGGAGCCGUGGGAGUGGAGAUUAGCGUUUGUAUUGAAAACUAGGCAGAGUUGCAGUUUGAUUGACUUUGAAUGGGCCUAAUUUUCGAAAAGUGUUCUGCGGUAGCCGGAAGUGAGCAGUUGCUAGUAUUACACAUUAGGUUUACAAGGAGUGGAAAUCUAGGUAGUUAAAGAUGACUUCAUUUACCCAAAGAAGCUGAAUGAGCCAAUGGGCGGGCCCAGGAGGAAACCAGCCUUCCUUCUUUGCUCUUAACUCUCGUCCAUCAAAGUCAUUUCUUUGAUGAUCUGCCACUAUGCUUCCAGCAUUUCAAAACCAAUGCUUUUUGAUUAAAUGUUCUGCUGUUAUUUAUACAAUCCAGCCAUUGGAUAAAUGUCUUCCCAAACCUGGCCAUGAGUGUGUGGGGAGGCAACCAGCUAAGGCUGGAGUUGAAGGAAACUUCUGCCAUGGAAUUACAUGCAAAUUUGGGCUAAAUAAGGAAUUGCUGAGUCCACAGAUAUGCCCGUAAUAAAUCAUGGGGACAGGAGAAAUGGUUCAGCAGUUAGGAACAUUGCUUUCUCAGAAAACCAUGGUUUGGCUCCUGGAACUCACAUGGCACCUCACACACAUCUGCAAUUCCACUUCUAGGCUAUUCAUGGCCCCAUUUGGCCCCUGGACACCAGGCUUACACAUCAGAUGCACAUACACGCCUCAGGCAAACACUCACAUACAUAAAGUAAGGAUCAAUACAUCUUUUAAAAGUUAUUCUGCUGUCUUAGAUUCCUGUUCUACAGUCAUUUCUGUACUGAGGUGUAUACACCCAAGCCACACAGAUAUGAAAUAAUAUAUAUUACUGCUAGUCGGUGGUGGGACACACCUUUAAUUCCAGCACUUGGGAGGCAGAGAUAGGCUGAUCUCUGAGUUUGAGGCCAGCCUGGUGAGUUCCAGAUCAGGACAGACAGACACAGAGAAAUCCUAUCUUGAAAAACCAAAUAAUAUUAAUAAUAAUAAGAUAACAAUAAAUAAUACAUAUUACCAACAUCUACUGACCAGCCUUGUUUGCCUCAAGUUCAUUGCUCAUCUGUCUUCUGUACCAGCCCCCCCCCCAUUAUACUGUACCUAGGAGAAGUACAUAGACAUUACACCAUAAUUUUUUCAAAUUGUUUUAAACUUUAUUCUAUUAAUAUGCUGGUUUUUUGACUUGCUUUUAUUUUGUGACAAUUAUCUGUCCUGAUACAUAUAGCUUUAGUUUCUUGGGAGGAGGUUGUUUUUGUUUUUUCCAUUUUAGCAGUAGAGCAUUCACCACAAAUAAGCAGAGUAUUUUCCUACUUGCUUAUUCAUGAGUGUUUGGGUUAGUUUCCAAAGUCCACUCUUCAAACACACUCCUUUUACAGAUGUACCCAUCUUCUUGUAUAUGUUUUUUACACAGCAGUGAGUAUUCAACAAUGUGUGUGUGUGUGUGUGUGUGUGUGUGUGUACACACUCAAGUGUGUGUGUGUAUGUAUGUUCAAACACAUACCCUAGUUGUAUAAACAGAGCCAGGGCUGACAAGAUGGUUCAAGGGAGUAAAAACAUUGGCCAGUGAAGCAUGAUGAUCUGAGUUCGAUUCCUGGAGUCCACAGCUGAAGGAAACAAUAGACUCUCACAACAGGCACAUAGACAAUUUUAAAAGUAGCCUGAAACAAAGAUUUUGCAAAACUUGUAUUUUCCUAUCCCAUGAGGCAGAUUUAAAUUUUAUGGAGCAUAAAGUCAUUGAAAGACUCUAUUUUUUUUUCUAAAUUAUAUUAUUGUAAUGUUAUUUUUAAAAAGUUUUUAAUGUUCAUUCAUGUUUGGGUGUGUUUGUGACAUAUCUGUAUGGCAGUCAGAGGACCACUUGCAGGGAAUUAUUUCUCUCUUCUACCAUGUAGGUCCUAGGAAUAAAACUUGGCCAUCGGGCUUGGUGGCAAGUGCCUUUCCCUGCUGAACCAUCUGUCUGGCCCACAAAAUUCAAGUGCAAAGUCUGGGCUUCAUUACUUUCAAGAUAAUGACUUAACUGUCCUUUGAUGAUGGCUCAUUCAUAGUGAAUAUCUAGCAGCAAUUUGAUAAACAUUGCAAUCUACUAAAAAGUAAUCUAGCAGGCUAGAGAGAUGGCUCAGCAGUUAAAAGCACUGGUGGCUCUUCCAGAGGUCCUGAGUUCAAUUCCCAGCAACCACAUGGUGGCUCACAACCAUCUGUAAUGGGGUCCAAUGCCCUUUUCUGACACUGGUGUUACAUGCAGACAGACCACUCAUAUACAUAAGAGAAAUAAAUCCU
rnacentral:lncRNA from 1 species